GUCAACGAUAAGGCAUACAUGUCAACUAUGGGUGUUGGCUCCAACAAUUCGCAUUGGUCUCAAACCAAUGACAUGCAUUUCGAAGACCAUGAGUUCGAGGUGGACGAGGAUGGUGAGGGCAUUGUCGACGCACCGAAAGGAAGAGGAGGCAACUACACCAACGAAGAAGAUGUCUUGCUAUGCAAAACUUGGUUGCAAGUGUCGAGGGAUCCAUCCGUUGGAGGUGAUCAAAGUAGAGAUGCUUAUUGGAAUCGGAUGAAGGAACACUUUGAUCUACGCAACGAGAGUGGAAUUGACCGCUCCGAUCGAUCUGUUCGCUCCCGGUGGUCGACAAUCAACAAUGAUUGUCAAAGGUGGGCGGCCGCACAAAAGGCGGUUGACAAGUUGAACCCAAGUGGCACUAAUGAUGAAGAUAGGGUAAGUGCCAUUUCAUCCAUGUUCAUCAUGCUUGUUGUUGGUGUUUGUAGUGCUAACUUGUUUUGUUUUCAUGUAGUUAAAUAUUGCACAAAACUUGUUCAAAGGAGAGGAGAAGAGGACCAAGAAGGGGAAGAUCAAGAAAGGAAGGCCAUUUACCUUGCCUCAUUGCUAUGA
rnacentral:rRNA from 1 species